AACGGAUUUUUCUUUAUAGCUUGCUAUGAUAACAAUUAGUGGCAGACGGGUGAGUAAUGCAUAGGAAUCUACCUAGUAGUAUGGGAUAGCCACUAGAAAUGGUGGGUAAUACUGUAUAAUCCCUGCGGGGGAAAGAUUUAUCGCUAUUAGAUGAGCCUAUGUUAGAUUAGCUAGUUGGUAGGGUAAAGGCCUACCAAGGCAGUGAUCUAUAGCUGGUCUGAGAGGAUGAUCAGCCACACUGGAACUGAGAUACGGUCCAGACUCCUACGGGAGGCAGCAGUGGGGAAUAUUGGACAAUGGGCGCAAGCCUGAUCCAGCUAUGCCGCGUGAGUGAGGAAGGCCUUAGGGUUGUAAAACUCUUUCAGUGGGGAAGAUAAUGACGGUACCCACAGAAGAAGUCCCGGCAAACUCCGUGCCAGCAGCCGCGGUAAUACGGAGGGGGCAAGCGUUGUUCGGAAUUAUUGGGCGUAAAGGGCAUGUAGGCGGUUCGGUAAGUUAAAGGUGAAAUGCCAGGGCUUAACCCUGGAGCUGCUUUUAAUACUGCC
rnacentral:rRNA from 1 species